rnacentral:rRNA from 1 species
AGCGAACGCUGGCGGCAGGCUUAACACAUGCAAGUCGAGCGGGCAUCGCAAGAUGUCAGCGGCAGACGGGAGAGUAACACGUGGGAACAUGCCCUUCGGUUCGGAAUAACUCAGGGAAACUUGAGCUAAUACCGGAUACGUCCGUAAGGAGAAAGAUUUAUCGCCGAAGGAUUGGCCCGCGUCCGAUUAGCUAGUUGGUGAGGUAACGGCUCACCAAGGCGACGAUCGGUAGCUGGUCUGAGAGGAUGAUCAGCCUCACUGGGACUGAGACACGGCCCAGACUCCUACGGGAGGCAG